UCAGCAUUGCUUUGGAACAGAUAGUAAAUGUGACUGGAAACGAAGCAACGACAAAAACCUCAGAACUCUUAACUGAUGCUGAGAUCACAGUUCUGGCAAGCAUCUUAGAAAGAGUCGCUGAAAUUGUCCUGAACAAAAGCUUACCGACAGAAAAUGUUGUUAAGGGAUUUGUCCAGUCUGUUAGCAACCUAGUAGAUGAACGAAAUAAACAAUCAUGGGAAACCAUGAAGCAACAUGAAAGUUAUGGUGGAGAAAACAUGUUGGCGUCUGUAGACAAAAUUGGAGUCGCCCUAAGGGAAAAAGUGGCGUCGGGCGAAGAAGGUUUCACAAACAUUACGAUUGUGCAGAAAAACGUUGCACUUGAGGUUAAAAAAGUUAACAAGCAAGACAUAGUUUUUCCUUACGCAGACAUUAAGAUUGAUCAGCACGAAGAUCAAUUUUGGGCGAAAACCUCCAAAAGCAGUAUUCUACUGA